UCAGUGCUCACCAGUCGUCCACCAAGGUGGGUUUAUACUUUACUUUCUUUACUUUGGACUCCAAUGGUUAUAAGGAAUAAGCACUCAUUUUCUUGAAAGAUGACACAUUUUAAGAAUUGAGUUUGGCAUUCGUUUUGAUGUGAUGAAAUGGCAGACCUAAGCCCCUUGCUUUAAAGAGCAAACAAAGAAAAACAACGGUGUUUAUAAGUUUUAUUUAUUGCACAGUUUUUAUUUUAAGCUUUACAAUAUAAAUAAGUUUUUUAAUUUAUUCACUUUGCUAAAAAUGAAGUAAAUAACCUUAAAAUUACCAUGUGUUGAGAGGUAAGUUGUGUUAAUAUAUUUAAAUAAGUAUAUAUAACAAUAUAUUAACAGAAAUUACGCAUGUAAGAAAAUAUACAAUAUUCGUUUUCUUGAAAGGUGUCAAAGAGCGUAAUCGAGCCCACUUUAUAAGGCAGAUACAGAUUUUUGAGAUGCGCAGAUAUGCAAACGCUUACUGACUGACUAUACGAC